UGGAUAUCAAAGUAUUGCAGAGUGCCUUAGCAGCCAUCCGACAUGCCCGCUGGUUCGAGGAAAAUGCUUCUCAGUCCACAGUUAAAGUUCUCAUCAGACUACUGAAGGACUUGAGGAUUCGUUUUCCUGGCUUUGAGCCCCUGACACCCUGGAUCCUUGACCUACUAGGCCAUUAUGCUGUGAUGAACAACCCCACCAGACAGCCUUUGGCCCUAAACGUUGCAUACAGGUACAGCAUGCUUUGGGUUUAGGGUUGGUUGUAAACUAUUUUGUGCAUUCCUUUAAUACCUCAUACCUCCCUGUGUUCUAGGCGCUGCUUGCAGAUUCUGGCUGCAGGACUGUUCCUGCCAGGUUCAGUGGGUAUCACUGACCCCUGUGAGAGUGGCAACUUUAGAGUACACACAGUCAUGACCCUAGAACAGCAGGACAUGGUCUGCUAUACAGCUCAGACUCUCGUCCGAAUCCUCUCACAUGGUGGCUUUAGGAAGAUCCUUGGCCAGGAGGGUGAUGCCAGCUAUCUUGCUUCUGAAAUAUCUACCUGGGAUGGAGUGAUAGUAACACCUUCAGAAAAGGCUUAUGAGAAGCCACCAGAGAAGAAGGAAGGAGAGGAAGAAGAGGAGAAUACAGAAGAACCACCUCAAGGAGAGGAAGAAGAAAGCAUGGAAACUCAGGAGUGACAUUCCCUUCACUCCUUUUCCUACCCAAGGGGGAAGACUGGAGCCUAAGCUGCCUGCUACUGGGCUUUACAUGGUGACAGACAUUUCCGUGGGAUAGGGAAGAUAGCAGGAAGAAAAGUAAACUCCAUAGAAGUGUCAUUCCACUGGGUUUUGAUAUUGGCUUAGCUGCCAGUCUCCCAUUUGUGACCUAUGCCAUCCAUCUAUAAUGGAGGAUACCAACAUUUCUUCCUAAUAUUCUAUAAUCUCCAACUCCUGAAAACCCCUCUCUCAACUAAUACUUUGCUGUUGAAAUGUUGUGAAAUGUUAAGUGUCUGGAAAUUUUUUUUUCUAA
rnacentral:sRNA from 1 species